UGCCAGCCGCCGCGGUAAUACGGAGGGUGCAAGCGUUAAUCGGAAUCACUGGGCGUAAAGCGCACGCAGGCGGUUUGCUAAGUCAGAUGUGAAAGCCCCGGGCUCAACCUGGGAACUGCAUUUGAUACUGGCAAACUAGAGUAUGGGAGAGAGAAGUAGAAUUCCACAUGUAGCGGUGAAAUGCGUAGAGAUGUGGAGGAAUAUCAGUGGCGAAGGCGACUUCUUGGCCCAAUACUGACGCUCAGGUGCGAAAGCGUGGGGAGCAAACAGGAUUAGAUA
rnacentral:rRNA from 1 species